UUAUUAGUUUACUAUUACUAGUAUUAUAAAAUACUUCUAUUUUAAGAUGGUUUAUGCAUUAACAUUUUUUUAAUAGAAAUGACCCUCUCCUGCAUCUUGACAUACAACCAUCAUGGAAGUCUCACUGACAACUAUGCAAUAAACAACAGAAAAUGGAUGUCCUCUAUGCAUAUGUAUAAGGUGUCGUUGUACGUCUACUAUGCAAUGGCACCACUAAAUCUUCCAAAGUUCGUUCUUGUACCUUGACAAUUUUUGGUGUGCUUUAUCCCUGAAGUGAUUAAUGAACAUCUAUUUGUAGUUUUGCCUAAAUUAUUAUUAUGUUUGUUUAGUCAAUGACCUGGUAAAAUCAAUUGUCAUUUUUUAAAAAAUCACUUCAUGGUUUAUUUGUAUUGAGUGACACUUUUUAGGGGGGAGGAGGGGGCAUGUAGCUCCAGCAUUUUGACACCUAACCUUAGAGCAAGCUAUAUUUAUAUCCCAGACUCGUUACUCAUUAAUCUUCAGUUUCUCAGUUACACCUUAAAAAAAUACAUUUUCCAAGAGUAUCUGUCACUGCUUCUGCAACUUUCCUCAUACUUUGUCCAAGGUAUGUACACAUAAACAUUUUCAUGUGCAGUACAAGGGUAUUAGCACAUAUCCUUAGAGCAAUGCUGAUGGUUGUUGAGCGCAUACAAUGAAAAAAAAGAAUGUGACAAGAUAAAUUCUCUAUGUAGUUUUGUUCUUCAUUUCACCAACAGUUUUAUCUAUGUGGAGAUAACCUCAGUACUUCAAUAAAUUUGUACUAAUAUAGAAA